rnacentral:misc_RNA from 1 species
GGCCAAAGUGGCGCACAACCUGUUAUGCAAUGCAGCAUGCAUCUGCCAUUUUGUAUUUAUAUACACUGUGCCAUUUUGCACCCAUUUUGAAGUGAAGUUACUUCGAUUACUUCGGAGGGUGUGGACGUGGAGUUGGUGUCAGUGUGGAGGUUAUGUUGAUGUUGCAGGUUGGCGUCAGUCUCCACUAUCCAAUCACAGAUGGAUACCAAACGAGGGCGCAUAGCUGGAUCAUAUGGGAAGAGGAUGCUGCUUGCUGCUCUCCACUCCCGUGGCAGACAUAAAGGCGCGCAGCGUCACUCACGUAAAAAUGGACGAGAGCGAUAUGUAAAGUGGUCUGUGCCCGAAGUGCAGAGACUGCGGGCGAUACUGAAAGCCCGCGGUGGGCGGGUACCCAGUAUGGAUGACCUCAGAGACCUGUACAAGAGGGAGCCGUUCAACGGCCAUAAUCUGAAUGACAUAAGAUGCAAGAUGUACAAACUUAAACAGAAGGCAGAGUGAGCUGCUGGAGCGGCCGGGCCGGGCUGUUCUGGGUUGGGUCCGGACGGGACUUGGGGACCGGCGCCGCCCGCGGCGUCAAAUACAUGUGUCUGCCCGCGCCCCAAUGCCGCCCGCGGCGACAAUACAUGUGUCUGCCCGCGCCCCGAUGCCGCCCGCGGCGACAAUACAUGUGCCUGCCCGCGCCCCGAUGCCGCCCGCGACGUCAGCAGUGCUCUCUGUGGCAGCCAGUGAACAGCCGCCACAUGGCCUAUGUCAGGAUCGCUCGAGGCGCUGCAGUAGGUCCUGCUGGCCGUGUCCGGUGUUUGGUUGUCAAGCUCUGAAGCACCGUUUUUGUUGAGUUUGGUUAUCAAGCUCAGAAGUCAGAGGCACCGUUUUUGCUGCGUGAUACCGAUGGCACGGACGCAUGUACCAUGUUCGGUUGUGUCUCGUGUGCCUGGUGUAAGUCUAGUGAUUGUGUUGAUCCGAUCGAGUCUGUGCUAGGGUCCAGUGGCAGCGCCCGAUGCCGUCGGUCCAUGUGUGGUCGGCAAAGGGUGGCCAGCGGCCUAGCGUACGUCGGAGUCGUGAGCGUCAAGAUGGCGUGUGAAGUGUGUAUGGGUUGUUGUGUAUCUCGAUAACGUGUUUCCUCAUAAUGGUUUCGAUGCUGUAAGUUCUCGUAAGUCCGUUGUCAUCAGUUGUUCUCUGGUGUCCGUCCUUCCCUGUUCGGCACUGGCAGCGGUGCCCGGUGAUAGGGCUGAAUCGGGCCGGGGGCUGGGCUGUGCUGGGUUGGGUCCGGAUGGGACUCGCGGCCCGGAGCCGCCCGCGGCGUCAGUAAGUACAUACAUUGAGUUUUACAUUGAGACAGAAGCACCGUUUUUGUUGAGUGACACCGAUGGCACGGACUUGAGUACCAUGAUCCGUUGUGUGUUGUGUGCCUGGUGUAAGAUUGUGUUGAUCCGAUCGAGUCUGUGCUAGGGUCCAGUGGCAGCGCCCGAUGCCGUCGGUCCAUGUGUGGUCGGCAAAGGGUGGCCAGUCCGGCAGCUGCAUUUUUGUGUCCUUAUUGAAAUACACUGUCAGUCGUCAGAAAA